rnacentral:rRNA from 1 species
UGAUGGGGAUAACAGUUGGAAACGACUGCUAAUACCGAAUACGCUCAUGAUGAACUUUAUGAGGAAAGGCGGCCUCUGCUUGCAAGCUAUCGCAUAGAGAUGAGUCCGCGUCCCAUUAGCUAGUUGGUGGGGUAACGGCCUACCAAGGCAACGAUGGGUAGCCGAUCUGAGAGGAUGAUCGGCCACACUGGAACUGAAACACGGUCCAG